rnacentral:snRNA from 1 species
AGAGUGAAGAUGAUCCUACUGGGACACCAGGCACCCCAGUGAUGGCCUGGGUUGAUUUUACUGAUCGAAUCAGCUGAGUAGGUGUCUACCUCCCUCCUCACCUUUCUACAUGUGUCCUUCCUGGGGCUGCAUGUCAAGUCAGAGAGAAGAAGAGCCUUCCCAGAUAGAGCAUUGUUCUUUGACCAAAGGUGUGUGAUGACUUUGUCUGUUAUCUGGCAUUCUAAGAGAAUAUGGUGUUCUGG